rnacentral:tRNA from 1 species
GACUCUGUAGUUCAGUUGGUUAGAGCGCUGCUCCAGAAUCGCAGGUCCGCAGGUUCAAUUCCUGCCAGAGACC